GUAUCACGCUGAGACAUCGGUUCCCGUAAGAUUCACCGAAGUUAAGCGACGUCGAGCCUGGCUAGUACAUACAUGGGUGACAGUUUGGGAAAACCAGGUACUGUAAG